UUUUUUUUUUUUUUUGCGGUAUGCGGGCCUCUCACUGUUGUGGCCUCUCCCGUUGCAGAGCACAGGCUCCGGACGUGCAGGCUCAGUGGCCAUGGCUCAUGGUCCCAGCCGCUCCGCGGCAUGUGGGAUCCUCCCAGACUGGGUCACGAACCCGUAUCCCCUGCGUCGGCAGGCGGACUCUCAACCACUGCGCCACCAGGGAAGCCCUCAAGUAUUCUUAAAGCACUGCGAAUAUCAGUGCUCAUGGAUGAAUGAAGAAAAGAGAAGGAAAGUAGAAGAAAGAGGAAAGUUGCUUCAGGUUCCCUACCCAAGCCUACAGCCCAAGCCUCAAUCCUAUUUUUAAGACCCUUUACUGAGCCUAUAUUUAUCAUGAGGUUUUUUUUUAUUAUUGAUGGAAAUCUACACAAGUAAUUUGGCUGAAGGCUGAAGCUUAUUUCAGGAAAGCAAGUCUUUCAUUUCUCCAAAGCCCCUGUUAGCUCCUCCCGCACCUGUUCUCUCUUCUGUCAAGCCACCUAUCGCUAAUUUCCAGAGCAAAAAGAACCAGGAUCCAGAUUCCAAAGCAGGAUGUAAGUGAUGCUUAGAGAAACAGGUGUGUGAUUUUUGUCAUAAAUUGUCUUAAUAUAAUCUUUCCAGUCAACA